rnacentral:lncRNA from 1 species
AUGCCAGUGCAGAGAUGCUCAUAAUAAGCACUUCAAAGAAAUUGGUUUUAUGGAAAGUACAUUUUCAAGUCCAUCCUGAGAGCUAAUUAGCUUUGUCGCCAGAUCUUCUAGGUGCCAGACAGGACCAGGACUGGGGCGGGGCCCGUCGAGUACUCGCAGGUGGCUGUGCUGUCCCAAGGGGGGGGGCUGGGCAGAGCAGGUGGGGACAUUUGGGCAGCUGGCUUCAGGGCCUAGGAAGGAGUCUGCCCUGCCCGGCUGCUGUGAUGAGCUGGUACCGCUGCAGGUCGGGGCUGACAGGAGCAGCACCCUGGGGACCCACGCGCAUAGGAAAAGGACUUGGAAGAAGGGCGGGCACCCAGGUGAGAGCCCCCGCUGAGCAUGGUCAGAGGCCCCGGGCCUCCCCUCUGUCUUGAAGACACAGCAAGGUGCAAACAGCAUGGCUUCCAACCCAGCUUUGCCUCCCUCCAUGGGUGACAUCAGCAGACCACUGGGUCCUUCUCUGUUUACUCGCCUGUACAGUGGGAGCCAAUAACUUUGAGAAUAAUCAGGAUGAUUAAAUUGAAGCAAAUUUCGGCAUUAUUUUGUGAAGCACAAGUCACUUGGUGAAUAUGCCACCAUGGUCAUCAGAACUGGUGCUUAGGACCAGUCUCGGGCCGAGGCUGUUGCUAAGCAUUUUAGUGGAACUCAAAGCUCAUAAUAACUCCGAGUUCUGUAAGAGUCUGAGUAGCACAGUUUUCAGGCCUGAAAACUCACAGACCAGUGUUCAGGACAAAAUGCUCAGGGCAAAUAAGGCCCUCGUGCCAGUUUUCAGAGAGAUCAAAUAGCAUAGCAGGUAAAACUGACACUGGAAGCAUCAGCCUGGACCCGGAACUCUGACUUGGCUGGAUGUCCACAAGCAGGUUACAGCAGGAUCCCAUG